AAUAACUAAUAAUUCAAUUAGUCAAAUGAUGGAGUAACGUCCUGAAGGACUAACUAUGAUACCCCG
rfam:Epulopiscium sp. AS2M-Bin001 AS2M_MBin01_41, whole genome shotgun sequence.